rnacentral:rRNA from 1 species
AACGAACGCUGGCGGCAGGCUUAACACACGCAAGUCGAGCGCCCCGCAAGGGGAGCGGCAGACGGGUGAGUAACGCGUGGGAAUCUACCCAUCACUACGGAACAACUCCGGGAAACUGGAGCUAAUACCGUAUACGUCCUUCGGGAGAAAGAUUUAUCGGUGAUGGAUGAGCCCGCGUUGGAUUAGCUAGUUGGUGGGGUAAUGGCCCACCAAGGCGACGAUCCAUAGCUGGUCUGAGAGGAUGAUCAGCCACACUGGGACUGAGACACGGCCCAGACUCCUACGGGAGGCAGCAGUGGGGAAUAUUGGACAAUGGGCGCAAGCCUGAUCCAGCCAUGCCGCGUGAGUGAUGAAGGCCCUAGGGUUGUAAAGCUCUUUCACCGGUGAAGAUAAUGACGGUAACCGGAGAAGAAGCCCCGGCUAACUUCGUGCCAGCCGCCGCCGUAACAC